GCUCCGGUGGCCUAGUGGUUAGAGCGUCCGCCUUGGAUACAGAAGGUAGUGGGUUCGAUCCCCGGUCGAGUCA